UGGGGAAUAUUGGACAAUGGGCGAAAGCCUGAUCCAGCCAUGCCGCGUGAGUGACGAAGGCCUUAGGGUUGUAAAACUCUUUCGUCGGGGACGAUAAUGACGGUACCCGAAGAAGAAGCUCCGGCUAACUUCGUGCCAGCAGCCGCGGUAAUACGAAGGGAGCUAGCGUUGUUCGGAAUCACUGGGCGUAAAGCGCACGUAGGCGGAUAGUUAAGUCAGGGGUGAAAUCCUGGGGCUCAACCCCAGAACUGCCUUUGAUACUGGCUGUCUCGAGGUCGAGAGAGGUUGGUGGAAUUCCUAGUGUAGAGGUGAAAUUCGUAGAUAUUAGGAAGAACAACAGUGGCGAAAGCGGCUCACUAGACUAUAACUGACACUCUGGCGCGAAAGCGUGGGUAGCAAACAGGAUUAGAUACCCAUGUAGUCCCUGAGCGGGCUGGCAAGGCGCAU
rnacentral:rRNA from 1 species